UUAGGUAAUAAAAAUAUUUAGAGUUUUACAGCUAAUUCACAACGCCCCUGUUAAAUAUUCUAUACCGAGUGCGCAACAAUGACAGAAUUUAGAAAACCAUCAAAAUAGUAUGAUUCUCCGUAUGUGAUUGGAAGAGUCAACUUGAACACUUUAAACUGAUCUGAACAAACUGCACGAGGCAUUGCAAAUGUUUACUCGGUGUUGUAUUGAUUCUUGACUGGCUGUUAAUUUUAUACAAGCUAAAGACGACCUUAUUUUGAAUAUAAUUUUGAAAGAGUCAGACCGCUAUUAACUGGUUAUGCACAAGGCAUUUUAGAUUUGCAAGCGUAGGGGAUGAAUCUUGACAGGCUGUUAAUUUUAUAGAAGCUAAUGUUGACCUUAUUUUAAAUAUAAUAGAGUGUUAUUGUCUGGAGGUGUUUGAUAUUCAGUCAGUAGAACAUGCAAAAUAUUGAAAUGAUUUGCUGCUGUGACUGUGUUUAUGAUUAUCCACGGCAAGAUGGUAUUUUAUUGUCAGUUAAGAUUUUGUGAAUACUUUUUAAUUUUGUUAUUAAUUCCUUUUCAUUUCAAAUUUUGCCCGUUUUUAAAAAUGCUAUAUAAAAAUAGCAGCAGGCAAAUUGGUUUGUAGUAUUAUUAUAUAAAGAUUAUUAUAUAAAGAUGUUUUUAAUUCUAUCAUAUGAUAAUUUUUCAUCGUAGAUAUAUCUUACGAUGCUUUUUCAGCAUAUUGCAGUUCGCGAGGCACAUAAGUUGUGGGCCCGAAUUUAGAGCAAAAGCUCGCUCUCCUCCGCCAUUUUUUUUUUCUUUUUCUUUCUUAAUAAGGAUCCUGUAAAAAAUAAAAUAUGAGAAGGAUCCUUAGUAUGGAUCCUGUAAAAAAUAAAAUAUGAGAAGAUAGCGGUGGGAAAAUAUUGCGCUAUAUCUUUAAUUAGUAUUUUUGUAGUUAGUUAAUAAUGCAGAUGUAGUUGAAUUUUUUUUUGUAAAUAAAACUUUUAUAUAUUUUGUUUCGUUAUCAUGUAUAAAUAAAUUGAUUUACAGUGGUGUUAUUAUUUCUUUUUUGAAAAAAACUUAUUAGUUUGUGACAUAGAAUUGACUUGGUCGUUAAGUAGAAUGCCAAGAAUAUAUAUGACGGUUAUUGUUGAUAAGGGUGAUUAAUAGGCAAGUAAAUUAUAAACUAACUUUAUAUUGAUUUUAUUUGUAGACCUAAUAAAUAGGAAGAUAACAUAAUUCAGGUAAUUAUUGUUUUCAGUUUUUCUCCCAAUAGUUAAUUAAAGUUUGAUAUCUUAUAUUAAAAAAAUAUGACCAUUCGAGUAAUUAUGACGGUAAUGUAUAUAUUUAACAUGUAAACUUCAUGUUCUGUAAUUAGUAAUCAGUAUUUUUAUAAAGUAGAUAAUAUAAAUUUUUACAGAUUUACUUUAACUUGAAAAUUUCAUCUCCUUAUUUUAUAGCAUUUCAUCUCCUUAUUUUAUAAUUUCAUCUCCUUAUUUUAUAUGCCGUUUUAUAAAGUUUAAUAAGUCUUCUGUUUAUGAAACAGUGUUAAAAGAUAAUACAGCAUGCCAAAGUGGUUGAAAUGCUUCGCUUGGGUUAAAAUCCUUUCGCUUACACUCAUAAUUUUUUUAUAUAUUUUCCAAAUUUCUAGAAAACAAAGUAAAACAUUUUUAAAGGCCUAUAGAUAUUAUAUGCAUUACAUUACAUAUAUAUAAAGAUAUUAUAUAUUA